AGCGAACGCUGGCGGCAGGCCUAACACAUGCAAGUCGAACGGAUCCUUCGGGAUUAGUGGCGGACGGGUGAGUAACACGUGGGAACGUGCCUUUUGGUUCGGAACAACUCAGGGAAACUUGAGCUAAUACCGAAUGUGCCCUUCGGGGAAGGAUUAUCGCCAUUAGAGCGGCCCGCGUCUGAUUAGCUUGUUGGUGAGGUAAAGGCUCACCAAGGCUACGAUCAGUAGCUGGUCUGAGAGGAUGAUCAGCCACAUUGGGACUGAGACACGGCCCAAACUCCUACGGGAGGCAGCAGUGGGGAAUCUUGCGCAAUGGGCGAAAGCCUGACGCAGCCAUGCCGCGUGAAUGAUGAAGGUCUUAGGAUUGUAAAAUUCUUUCACCGGGGACGAUAAUGACGGUACCCGGAGAAGAAGCCCCGGCUAACUUCGUGCCAGCAGCCGCGGUAAAGUAGUCCGUGU
rnacentral:rRNA from 1 species